rnacentral:rRNA from 1 species
UGCUCCUGAUUGAUAAACAUUUGAGUGAGUGGCGGACGGGUGAGUAACACGUGGGUAACCUGCCCUAAAGUGGGGGAUAACAUUUGGAAACAGAUGCUAAUACCGCAUAAAACCUAACACCGCAUGGUGUAGGGUUGAAAGAUGGUUUCGGCUAUCACUUUAGGAUGGACCCGCGGUGCAUUAGUUAGUUGGUGAGGUAAAGGCUCACCAAGACCGUGAUGCAUAGCCGACCUGAGAGGGUAAUCGGCCACACUGGGACUGAGACACGGCCCAGACUCCUACGGGAGGCAGCAGUAGGGAAUCUUCCACAAUGGACGAAAGUCUGAUGGAGCAACGCCGCGUGAGUGAAGAAGGUUUUCGGAUCGUAAAACUCUGUUGUUGGAGAAGAAUGUAUCUGAUAGUAACUGAUCAGGUAGUGACGGUAUCCAACCAGAAAGCCACGGCUAACUACGUGCCAGCAGCCGCGGUAAUACGUAGGUGGCAAGCGUUGUCCGGAUUUAUUGGGCGUAAAGCGAGCGCAGGCGGUUUCUUAAGUCUGAUG